rnacentral:lncRNA from 1 species
AAGAAGCUCAUGGAUGGUAAAAAAAAGAGAGACAGCCACACUGAUACUAAGAAGAUGAUGAGUGUUCUCAGGGCAGAACGAUUCAGAAUCAAGAUCAGAGAACUUGGUGAAAUUUAGAUUAGACUUGAAAUGAGGACAAUGAGAGAAAUAAAAAGGCUUCGUAAACUAGAAAAGUUUGGUGAGGAGCGACUACAGUUCUCAAAAUGCAAGAUGAAAGAAGCUCCUAUCAAGAGAACCAGGG